AUACGUAGGGUGCAAGCGUUAAUCGGAAUUACUGGGCGUAAAGCGUGCGCAGGCGGUUUUGUAAGACAGAGGUGAAAUCCCCGGGCUCAACCUGGGAACUGCCUUUGUGACUGCAAGGCUAGAGUACGGCAGAGGGGGAUGGAAUUCCGCGUGUAGCAGUGAAAUGCGUAGAUAUGCGGGGGAACACCGAUGGAGAAGGCAAUCCCCUGGGCAUGUACGGACGCUCAUGCACGAAAGCGUGGGGAGCAAACAGGAUUAGAUACCCUGGUAGUCCACGCCCUAAACGAUGUCAACUGGUUGUUGGGUCUUCAUUGACUCAGUAACGAAGCUAACGCGUGAAGUUGACCGCCUGGGGAGUACGGCCGCAAGGUUGAAACUCAAAUGAAUUGGCGGGG
rnacentral:rRNA from 1 species